rnacentral:rRNA from 1 species
CAGCGCCACGAGUGGCAAUCACAAUUAUUGGGCCUAAAGCGUCCGUAGCCGGAUUUGUUAAUCUUUUGUGAAAUCAUGGGGCUUAACUUCAUGUCGUGCAGGAGACACUGCAGAUCUAGGAACCGGGAGGAGUCAGAAGUAUUCUGGGGGGAGCGGUAAAAUGUGAUAAUCCUUAGAGGACCACCUGUGGCGAAGGCGUCUGACUAGAACGGAUUCGACGGUGAGGGACGAAGGCCAGGGGAGCAAACCGGAUUAGAGACCCGAGUAGUCC